rnacentral:rRNA from 1 species
AAUUACGAAAGCAAAAAAUUAUGGCGGUAUUUUAAGCUUUUCAGAGGAAUUUGCUCUUUAAUGGAUAAAACACCUAAAUCUUACUUAAAUUUGUUAAUUCAAUUUGUAUACCACUAUAAAAACAAUUAAUAACUUCAAUUGUUAAAAUUUAUUAAAUUAAGUUAUAUUAAGUCAAGGUGCAGUAAAAAUUUAAGAAUGAAGUGAAUUACAUUUCUUUUUAGAGAGAGAAAUUUAAAUAACAUUUAGGAUUUGAAAGUAAAAUUGAAAUAGAAUGUCAAUUUGAAUUAAGCUCUAAAAUAUGUACAUAUCGCCCGU